UACAGAGGGUGCAAGCGUUGCUCGGAAUCAUUGGGCGUAAAGGGUAGGUAGGUGGUCUCAUUUGUCUGGGGUGAAAGCCCAGGGCUUAACCCUGGAAGUGCCCCGGAAACGGUGAGACUGGAGUACUGGAGAGGGUCGUGGAAUUCCCGGUGUAGCGGUGAAAUGCGUAGAGAUCGGGAGGAACACCAGAGGCGAAGGCGGCGACCUGGACAGUUACUGACACUCAACUACGAAAGCGUGGGGAACAAACAGG
rnacentral:rRNA from 1 species